rnacentral:rRNA from 1 species
UGGGGAAUAUUGCACAAUGGGGGAAACCCUGAUGCAGCAACGCCGCGUGAAGGAAGAAGGUUUUCGGAUCGUAAACUUCUAUCAACAGGGACGAAGACAAUGACGGUACCUGAAUAAGAAGCCCCGGCUAACUACGUGCCAGCAGCCGCGGUAAUACGUAGGGGGCAAGCGUUAUCCGGAAUUACUGGGUGUAAAGGGAGCGUAGGCGGCAUGUCAAGCCAGAUGUGAAAGCCCGGGGCUUAACCCCGCGGAUUGCAUUUGGAACUGGCAAGCUAGAGUACAGGAGAGGAAAGCGGAAUUCCUAGUGUAGCGGUGAAAUGCGUAGAUAUUAGGAAGAACACCAGUGGCGAAGGCGGCUUUCUGGACUGAAACUGACGCUGAGGCUCGAAAGCGUGGGGAG